rnacentral:rRNA from 1 species
AUUGAACGCUGGCGGCAUGCCUUACACAUGCAAGUCGAACGGUAACAGGUCUUCGGAUGCUGACGAGUGGCGAACGGGUGAGUAAUACAUCGGAACGUGCCUAGUAGUGGGGGAUAACUACUCGAAAGAGUGGCUAAUACCGCAUGAGAUCUACGGAUGAAAGCAGGGGAUCGCAAGACCUUGCGCUACUAGAGCGGCCGAUGGCAGAUUAGGUAGUGGGUGGGAUAAAAGCUUACCAAGCCGACGAUCUGUAGCUGGUCUGGGAGGACGAUCAGCCACACUGGGACUGAGACACGGCCCAGACUCCUACGGGAGGCAGCAGUGGGGAAUUUUGGACAAUGGGCGCAAGCCUGAUCCAGCAAUGCCGCGUGCAGGAUGAAGGCCUUCGGGUUGUAAACUGCUUUUGUACGGAACGAAAAGCCCUGGGUUAAUACCCUGGGGUCAUGACGGUACCGUAAGAAUAAGCACCGGCUAACUACGUGCCAGCCGCCGCAGUAAUAC